rnacentral:sRNA from 1 species
CACACACGGGAUCAGGGCUUUUGCCGGGAGAAAUCCGGCCUCAGCCUCCGGUGGCGAGCAAUCGCCUCAGCCCGUGGAGGUUAAACCGGAAAAGGAAAAUA